GCUCCGGUGGCCUAGUGGUUAGAGCAUCCGCCUCGGGUGCGGCAGGUCAUGGAUUCCAUCCCCGGUCGAGUCA